CAACAUGGUUAUGGGUACUACAGUGGAUGUGAGUGUGUAGACCUUGUACAAUAGAGCUUAUAGGCUAAUGAGAAGACAGGAAGAAACAACAGGAACACAUAUAGCUGGAAUGCAGAUGGGAUCUGUGCUACUUACGCUAGCCAUGGGAUGAUUAGAACAAGAUAAGAGACAUGAGGAAGACUUCUUCAAGGAGGUGCUCAAGCCAUGUUUUGGAAAAGAGAACUCAAGGUCUGGCAGGGAGAAAGGAGCAAGGGCAAGUAGAGCUGCAGCUGUCUGGCGCCACUGUAAUGCUGUCUCCUCCUCUGAGUGAGUUCAUCCUGGAAACAUUUUCUCCCAUAAGACAUGCACAGGUCUUACGUUUACAUGUUUCACUGAAAGAAAUUUGAUUCCACUGCUGGGAUGACAAGGAAGACUGAAGAAACCUAAUCCUAGGUGCUGCCACUGGGACAAACAAGAAGCACCAGACACAGUGCUGUUUUAGGGUGGGGCAGAAUUAUGCUGAGGGAAAAGUUAUUAUCACUCUUUAAGGCCAAGGAAACCACAAUUUUUAAAGAAGCUUCUAGAAAUUCUACCCAGUAGAAAAUAAAGAUAAACUUCUGUAAGGAAUUUCAUUCUUUUCAGAAUUCGCAAUCUGAAAUGUAGAAGCCCAUUCCUUCAUGGUUCUCAUAGAUAUUUAGUGUGACUGAGGGGUCAGUGGACUCAUAGCACUCAGGCCAGGCUUCUCCUGAGUCCCUUUCUUUGGCACAGAGGGAGUGAUUCACAGAUCCUCUACCCCCAAAGGCAUUGUUUCCUCAUCUCAACAAGAAUCCAGCACCCGUCAUUUUAUCAGCACACGUCACUAGCUUCUCAAGUGAGACUACUCUGAAGUGAUCUGUGUUUGAAGAAUGCCUUUCCCUUUCCCUUACGUAACUAAGAGGAUGAAAAAGGACACUCACUCCCUAUAUGAAAGCUGUGUAUUGUAAGCAGUCAUCUUGCCUGGCUGAGAACUCUAGGAUCUUUUUCUCUGCUCUCCUUUAGGCUGACACUCAUAGCCAGACCUUCUGUUUAUUAGCCCCCUGAAUCUAUUUGAAAAUAUUUUUGCUUUCAUUAUAAUAUAAGUCACAUUCUUCUUGCAUCUGCCGCUGCAUUUUCCAAAAGGGUUAUGUCAAGGGAAAUUCAACACUCACUUUUCUCAUUAUUUGCUUACCAGCUUGCUCACUCAUCAAAAUACCAGAGUUAUUUGAUACUUCAGAAGAUUAUUUCCCCCUUUAGAUGAUGUGUCAAGGGAAGGGGAGCUGGCCCCAGUAUCAGGUGACAGAAUUUUCUUCGCAUUUCUACUGUUGACUCAAUAAAUGCCCUUGGGCAAGUCAUGGAGCCUCUUCAUACUUUGGUCUCUAGGGAUAAAAUCUGCCAACCGCAGCAUGUGUAUUUGAACCUCAGUGUCCUCUGGAAUAAAAAUAGGAGGGGACCAGGUGUCCAUGUGACCCCAAGCUGAUGGGAAGAGGAUGACCAUAGGACUUCAAAAUGUCCUUGAGCUGUAAAUUCUGUAAUAGGGUCAGGCCCACCAGUGGCCUUCAGGCAUUUGUCCAGUGGUGUAUGGAUAAGUUCUAGCACUUGAGUUUUUUCAGCACAAAGGAGGCACUAUGUCAACCUCCCACCCAUGGGUAUUCUGUUUGCUCUGUGUCCCCGCUUCUCUGCAUUUCCCUGCCAUAUUACUCACCACUGGUCGUAAUUACUUGCUUGAUCACUUGUCUCCUGGUCUGUAAGCUGUUUGAGGGAGGGGAGCACAUCUGCCCUAUGCAACACUGUACCCUCAGUGUGGUACACAGGAGCACAUGCCUGACAUAUGGAAGUUAUGUGAGAAACAUUUGUGAAGUGGACAAAUUAAUAAUGCUGCCUGGACUCUAUAGAAAUCCCUUUUCUGCAUCAUUAAGGUUCCCAAGCCUGGCCAAGAAGUAGUGGGAUCUGAUUAGCCUCAUCUCCUCAUAACCCUACUUCCUAUAAUAUUAUAAUGAAAGCAGAUCUCAGCCCAAAUGCUGGCACACAUACAUAUUUAUCAGUAAGAAGAUCCAAAAUCGUUCAUGCAGCUGGUUCUGUAAGCUUGGCAAAUUUCCAGCCCUCUGAACUUUUCAGUGCUUUGUCCACACUCUACAUGAAAGGGCCUCUUAAGAGUGACAGGGCAGUAUUCUAAAGACCAGAUUUUAAUUGCACCAGGUAACUGAAUUGUCUGAAUUCACAGCUGAACACAGGACAAGGUCAGAAUCAUAUUUCUUAUGCCAUUUAGAAAGGUGACAAGUGAAGGGCUGGCCAAAAUCUUACACCCAGCUUACGUAAGAGUAGAGACUGUCCCUAAUGCUUUCCCCAGUCCACUUGUCUCGAACACCAUUAGGUUCAAUAGUAAAAGCCCAUUUCUCACUUGCUUCAUGUUAAUUGACUGAUCACUAAUUUUACCAAUAAGAAGCCAUUUUUAUUAUUUAUCAUUAUGAUUUUUAUCAUUUUGUUAAUUAGCCAAGCUUCUGCUGUUGACUCCAGAUAAAGAGAGUUAAAGCACUUGGGGUGACCACCUAAGUAGAUUUUUUCAUGGUGAACAAAUGGAAGCAACAGAAACAGCUCAGACUUUUGAAAAGUGAUGAAAAAGGCCCAUGAUGCCCUGCUCCUUGAAAAUGAAGAAGAGGAUGACUUAGCCCUGCAGGGCUCUUUUCUUUGCAUGUUCUUACCAACCCUCAGGGGAGAUUCAGUCUACUAGCUGGCUUCCCCACGUGGACCUCACUCUGUGGUCCUCUUCUCCCUGAAGGCUGUCACAGUUCCUGUGCAGAGAGAGAGGGCACUGCAGCACCCAGGCGCUGACUGCCUUUUGUCAGUCUCAUUUGCAGGCCCCCAGCUGGAGAACCCAGGAGGAAGAGGAAAAAAGUUUUUUCCUCCUCUACACUCCCCAUGCAUGACUAAAGAGUAGGAGGAGUCAGCAAGGCAGACAUAUAUAGUACCCAGGAGGUGGACAAACAACUGCCUUGGUGGAAACUCUGUCCUUUCUGGACUUAUCCUGGUGCCACUGAGACUGUGCAGGGCUUCUUUUGCUCAAUAUGGGACUCAUGAGAGUCAUCGGUGUUGUGUGAGGCAGCUGUUUGUUGAUUUUCUGGACCAAAUAAUGUUCCACCGUGUGACUGGACAUACCUUAGUCUAUCCAUUCUACCACUGAUGAGCAUGUCCCACACUUACAGGGAAAGCAUCACCCGAAAGUGAGAAUGCCUAGAGGCAGGAAUCAUGGAGGCUUCCUUAACCGUCUGUCUGCAACAGCAG
rnacentral:lncRNA from 1 species